rnacentral:rRNA from 1 species
UACGGAGGUGGCUAGCGUUACUCGGAAUUAUUGGGUGUAAAGGGCAAGUAGGCGGUCUAAUAAGUGGGGGGUGAAAUACUCCGGCUCAAUCGGGGAACUGCCUUCCAAACUGCUAGACUUGAGUAUGACAGAGGAAAAUGGAAUUCUAGGUGUAAGGGUGAAAUCUGUAGAUAUCUAGAAGAACACCAGCUGCGAAGGCGAUUUUCUGGGUCAUUACUGACGCUAAAUUGCGAAAGCUAGGGGAGCAAACAGA